UAGUGUGUAUAUAUAUGGGUCAAGUCCACAAAUAUAUGAAGCAAUCAAUUAUUUUGUGGCUGAUGGAAAUGAGUUUUCUGGGCAUGGGCUUGAAUUCCAGACACGUACCAUCGCAGCCAGGCCAAGUGGCUUUAGACCCCAGGGACAUGCCAGACAAGAGUGUGCCAAAUAAUGCUUCUACGUGUUGGUCAUGCAGUACUGUUACUUGGCAGCUUCUAUGAUAAAUCACCAAAUCCACUAUUCCUAAAUCAUUACAAGCUUAUGCUACUACUUAAAUAUUAUUUCUACUUCUAGUACUCCACAAUCUAACCUUAUUGCUUAUAUUUGGUUGAAGAAAUUUGGGUGUAAAGAUACGGCUUAGAAGAGUAAGUCCCAAAGGUUUGAUAAAAGAAGGAAGAAAGUUUUCUGUGAAAAAGCAGAUAAAAAAGUGGAGUGUUUUGGAGAGCAAACCCCUUUUUUUCCUCAUUUAUUUCGCCAUCAUGUGUGGUGAAGCCGUUAUAUAAUGAUAAAGUAUGAUUGAGUUUAUAAUGUCGUAAUUACAUGGUGGAUUUUAAUUUCUAAGCAAGAAGUUCUGUGGCUGAACUUUCUGUUUUGUCCUGCCCAAGCAAGGAGUUUUAAUUGUGAAAUGGUUUCUGAGGAUACUAUCCAUUCAUUAAAAAUGAACAGCUGAUUAAUAAUAUUGACAAUGGAGUUUUCUUUAGGAAUUAUUUGUCUUUUGAAGCCUCUGAUCUAUUGCAUUCUCAUUUUUGGAGUUUCUGUUUCAUUAGAUCAAUUCAUUUUAUACAACUUUUCUUGCUUUUGUUUGAAUAUUUGUUUUAUGUUGUUUUUCUUUUCUUGGAUUUUAAUUUUGAUCUAAAGUCACUUGAUUUUUGGAUUUUAGUUUUGAUCUGAAGUUACUUAAAAUGUAGCAUCUAUAAUCUUCAAGAUGUUCGAUUUUCAGUAUUUCUGGGUCUUAUUAUGGCUUGUUUGUCGAGGAAUUCUAAUGUGUGGUUUUGGAUAUAGGUUUAGAGGACAGCGUUUUACAUGUGGAGUAGUGUAUAAUCUAUCAUAUGUAACAAUGGAGUGGUCUGCACAACAGAUUGCGGAAGCAUGGGGAGUAGCUAAGAGGUUGGAGUCCGCUUGCUUCUGGAGUGCUUACUGGAGUAGAUAAGGCUAUGUUUCACUAUGUUUUGCUUCUUACGAAUCUAACAUAUUGUUUAUGCAUAUGUGCUUGUAAUAAAUAUAAUUUCUUGCAUGUUUACAGUUGAUAAAUCUCUGGUGUCUGUAUCAAAAAACAAAACAAAAAGAUCAAAAACUCAACUGUAUAGUGGACUAAUCUGAUAAA